rnacentral:lncRNA from 1 species
UUUGUACCUGUCAAAGGUACCUAUAUCAUUUUCGAUGUGUGAGUUGCAACUUGGUCGUAAGACCCUCGAUGUAAUAAGUUGUUAACUUUGCUCGAUUAAGAGUUGUUUGGUAUAUUACAGUUUCUGUCGUAGAGUUAUUCUUGUGAUACCUGUGGUUUGCGACAUACGUCGUGCGUGCUGCGUGUAUGAUUAUAACACGUGCGGUUUAUGUAGGGUUCGGGGUCUGGUUCAUGCUUAGUUAAGUUGUGACAUGAUGAUGUGCAAGCGAGUCCACCUGUCAAGGGGUUGGGAGCUAUAUCACUCCGCACGGUCGUCCUUUGACUGUGAUCGCUUUGAAUUGAUGCUCUGCUUGACUUGUGGAAGAGGGAGCUAUAUUACCCCGCACAGUUUACAACUGUGAUCGCUUUGGGUUGAUGCUCCAGGCUCUUCAGCACCAUAUCACCCCGCACAGUUUCCGCACUAUGAUUGCUUUGGAUUAUAGUCCUGACUUGUCAUCAAUCAAUUCUUAAUCUUUGUAUGUGUCAAAUUCCGGGUCCGUGACCCCAAAUUGCAUGUCUGGUAAAAAGUAAAAAAAGAAAAACACAUGCCACCAGCGUGGUCUGCGUUGGACUCCAAAACAUAUUGGCUGGAUACGUAUUGAGGCAUGGCAUCAGGUAGCACGC